UUUAAAAAUAUGAGAGGUUGUUAUACCAAAAAGUGCAGAUAUUUUUAUACCAAUUAUAAAAAUACAUCGAGACGAAAAGUAUUGGCCAAACCCAUUUGUGUUUGAUCCUGAUAGAUUUCUCCCAGAAAGAAUAAAGGAUUGUCAUGAGUUUUCUUAUUUCCCGUUUAGUGAUGGACCAAGAAACUGUAUAGGUAUGAAAUACGGAAUGAUGUGUACGAAAGUCAUAGUAGCAACAUUGAUCCGAACAUUCAUAUUCAAGGUUAAUAAAAGUGUUGAAUUAGAUAAAAUAAAAUUGAUAUUCGACACAACAUUAUCUAGUUCUGAGCCUUUUAAAGUCAAAAUUGAAAAACGAUACUUCUCAUAAAGUAGUAUAGAAAAUUAUAUAGUAAAGUGUAUGAAAUAUUUGAAGUUACAUUUUUGGUAUAAUAUGUAAUUUUGGUAUAAUA